UACGUAGGGAGCAAGCGUUGUCCGGAAUCAUUGUGCGUAAAGCGCGUGUAGGCGGUUACAUAAGUCUGUUGUGAAAGUCGGAGGCUCAACCUUCGAAAGCCGAUGGAUACUGUGUGACUUGAGUACGGAAGAGGAGAGUGGAAUUCCUGGUGUAGCGGUGAAAUGCGCAGAUAUCAGGAGGAACACCAACGGCGAAGGCAGCUCUCUGGGACGUUACUGACGCUGAGACGCGAACGCGUGGGGAGCAAACAGG
rnacentral:rRNA from 1 species